GACGAACUGUGCGAGCGUUGUCCGGAAUCACUGGGCGUAAAGGGCGCGUAGGCGGCCACGCACGUCCGUUGUGAAAUCGCCCGGCUCAACUGGGCGGGGUCAGCGGAUACGGUGUGGCUCGAGCAAGCUAGGGGGCAAUGGAAUUCCCGGUGUAGUGGUGGAAUGCGUAGAUAUCAGGAGGAACACCUGUGGUGUAGACGGCUUUCUGGACCGUAGCUGACGCUGAGACACGAAAGCGUGGGUAGCAAACAGG
rnacentral:rRNA from 1 species